UAAUACGUAGGGGGCAAGCGUUGUCCGGAAUUAUUGGGCGUAAAGCGCGCGCAGGCGGUCAUUUAAGUUUGGUGUUUAAGCCCGGGGCUCAACCCCGGAUCGCACUGAAAACUGGGUGACUUGAGUGCGGGAGAGGAAAGUGGAAUUCCACGUGUAGCGGUGAAAUGCGUAGAGAUGUGGAGGAACACCAGUGGCGAAGGCGACUUUCUGGACCGUAACUGACGCUGAGGCGCGAAAGCGUGGGGAGCAAACAGGAUUAGAUACCCUGGUAGUCCACGCCGUAAACGAUGAGUGCUAGGUGUCAGGGGUUUCGAUACCUCUGGUGCCGAAGUUAACACAGUAAGCACUCCGCCUGGGGAGUACGCUCGCAAGAGUG
rnacentral:rRNA from 1 species